AGAAAUUUAGUUAAUUUAUAAUAUAAAAUUGUCAAUUUUAAGAUACUUAAAAGUAAUUUCUA
rnacentral:tRNA from 1 species